rnacentral:rRNA from 1 species
GUAGGGGUGCAAGCGUUAAUCGGAAUUACUGGGCGUAAAGCGUGCGCAGGCGGUUUUGUAAGUCUGACGUGAAAUCCCCGGGGCUCAACCUGGGAAUUGCGUUGGAGACUGCAAGGCUGGAGUCUGGCAGAGGGGGGUAGAAUUCCACGUGUAGCAGUGAAAUGCGUAGAGAUGUGGAGGAACACCGAUGGCGAAGGCAGCCCCCUGGGUCAAGACUGACGCUCAUGCACGAAAGCGUGGGGAGCAAACAGGAUUAGAUACCCUGGUAGUCCACGCCCUAAACGAUGUCUACUAGUUGUCGGGUCUUAAUUGACUUGGUAACGCAGCUAACGCGUGAAGUAGACCGCCUGGGGAGUACGGUCGCAAGAUUA